rnacentral:rRNA from 1 species
AUUGAACGCUGGCGGCAUGCUUUACACAUGCAAGUCGGACGAGUGGCGAACGGGUGAGUAACGCAUCGGAACGUACCGGGUAAUGGGGGAUAACUAUCCGAAAGGACAGCUAAUACCGCAUAUUAUUCGAGCGGCCGAGGUCUGAUUAGCUGGUUGGCGGGGGAAAGGCCCACCAAGGCGACGAUCAGUAGCGGGUCUGAGAGGAUGAUCCGCCAAACGGGAACUGAGACACGGCCCAGACGCCUACGGGAGGAAGCAGUGGGGAAUGUUGGACAAUGGGCGAAAGCCUGAUCCAGCCAUGCGGCGGGUCUGAAGAAGGCCUUAGGGUUGUAAAGGACUUUUGUCAGGGAAGCGGUACCUGAAGAAUAAGCACCGGCUAACUCCGUGCCAGCAGCCGCGGUAAUUC